rnacentral:rRNA from 1 species
AGCGAACGCUGGCGGCAGGCCUAACACAUGCAAGUCGAACGAACCCUUCGGGGUUAGUGGCGGACGGGUGAGUAACACGUGGGAACGUGCCUUUAGGUUCGGAAUAACACCGGGAAACUUGUGCUAAUACCGAAUGUGCCCUUCGGGGGAAAGAUUUAUCGCCUUUAGAGCGGCCCGUGUCUGAUUAGCUAGUUGGUGAGGUAAUGGCUCACCAAGGCUACGAUCAGUAGCUGGUCGGAGAGGAUGACCAGCCACAUUGGGACUGAGACACGGCCCAAACUCCUACGGGGGGCGGCAGUGGGGAGUCUUGCGCAAUGGGCGAAAGCCUGACGCAGCCAUGCCGCGUGGAUGAUGAAGGUCUUAGGAUUGUAAAAUCCUUUCACCGGUGAAGAUAAUGACUGUAGCCGGAGAAGAAGCCCCGGCUAACUUCGUGCCAGCCGCCGCGGUAAGAC